GAUUAUGGCUCAGGAUGAACGCUGGCGGCGUGCUUAACACAUGCAAGUCGAACGGAGUUUAAGGAGCUUGCUCUUAAACUUAGUGGCGGACGGGUGAGUAACGCGUGGGUAACCUGCCUUUCACUGGGGGAUAACAGUUAGAAAUGACUGCUAAUACCGCAUAAGCGCACAGUAAGGCAUCUUACAGUGUGAAAAACUCCGGUGGUAUACGAUGGACCCGCGUCUGAUUAGCCAGUUGGCAGGGUAACGGCCUACCAAAGCGACGAUCAGUAGCCGGCCUGAGAGGGUGAACGGCCACAUUGGGACUGAGACACGGCCCAAACUCCUACGGGAGGCAGCAGUGGGGAAUAUUGCACAAUGGGGGAAACCCUGAUGCAAGCGACGCCGCGUGAGUGAAGAAGCAUUUCGGUGCGUAAAGCUCUAUCAGCAGGGAAGAAAAUGACGGUACCUGACUAAGAAGCCCCGGCUAACUACGUGCCAGCCGCCGC
rnacentral:rRNA from 1 species